UUCAAGCAAAUUGCUGUAGAAAUUGCGAGCGCUUCAAAGAGAAGAAGAGCACAACGUGGCAGAAAUUGUGGGAAUGUAGAAAUUGCAAGCACUUCAAAGAGAAGAAUAACACAACAUGGCAGAAACUGCGAGAAGAAAGCACUUGAAGAGAAAAACAAUUGACACUUUGUGGUCUUUUUCUCUUUGGAAGUGGUAGCAGGUUUUAUAGCGAUUUUGUAGAA
rnacentral:pre_miRNA from 1 species